AACUAACGCUGGCGGCGCGCCGAAUACAUGCAAGUCGAACGAUGUAGCAAUACAUAGUGGCGCACGGGAGAGUAACACGUGGAUAAUCUCCCCUCGAGAGAAGAAUAACUAGUCGAAAGAUUGGCUAAUACUUCGUAAGACCACAGAAACAAAUGUUUCAGGGGUAAAAGUCGUAAGACGCUUGAGGAUGAGUCUGCGUCCCAUUAGCUAGUUGGUGAGGUAAUGGCACACCAAGGCUUCGAUGGGUAGCUGGUCUGAGAGGAUGAUCAGCCUCACUGGAACUGACACACGGUCCAGACUCCUACGGGAGGCAGCAGUAGGGAAUAUUGCACAAUGGAGGAAACUCUGAUGCAGCGACGCCGCGUGAGUGAUGAAGGACUUCGGUUUGUAAAGCUCUGUUGUCAGGGAAUAAAAAAAUGAAUGUACCUGACGAGAAAGGACCGGCUAAACUCGUUGCCAGCAGCCGCGGUAAU
rnacentral:rRNA from 1 species